rnacentral:rRNA from 1 species
UCGAGGAUCUUCGGCAAUGGGCGCAAGCCUGACCGAGCGACGCCGCGUGUGCGAUGAAGGCCUUCGGGUUGUAAAGCACUGUCGAGAGAGAGAAAGGCGCAAGCUUGAUCGAUCUCUGGAGGAAGCACGGGCUAAGUUCGUGCCAGCAGCCGCGGUAAGACGAACCGUGCGAACGUUGUUCGGAUUCACUGGGCUUAAAGGGCGCGUAGGCGGGUGUUCAAGUCAGGGGUGAAAUCCCCCAGCUUAACUGGGGAACAGCCUUUGAUACUGGACGCCUCGAGGGAGGUAGGGGCAGGUGGAACUUCCGGUGGAGCGGUGAAAUGCGUAGAUAUCGGAAGGAACGCCGGUGGCGAAAGCGACCUGCUGGACCUCUUCUGACGCUGAGGCGCGAAAGCCAGGGGAGCAAACGGGAUUAGAUACCCCCGUAGUCC